CAAAUGGCUUGAACAGCUGUCCUUCGUGGUAUGUACCGUAUGUGUAUGCAUCGGUACUGUACGUGCGUGUAGUAUUGUCACUCAUGGACAUGUUGUAAUGAAACCGUGCAGUACUUUUCUGGAAAAAGAAUCUUUGCUGUUAUAGCGGAUAGUGACCCCUUGAUAGAAGAAACAUUUUUAAUUAGGAGGGUGACAUUAGAAAAAUCUAUGGAUUCUAUACUAC
rnacentral:rRNA from 1 species